CAAUAGAGUAUAUUAAAGUUGUUGCAGUUAAAAAGCUCGUAGUUGGAUUUCGGGGCAGCCUGGCUGGUCCGCCGCAAGGCGAGUACUGGUCAGCCGCCCUUCCUCUCGAAAGCCCCGACUGCUCUUCGUUGCAGUGGUCGGGUAGUUCGGGACGUUUACUUUGAAAAAAUUAGAGUGUUCAAGGCAGGCCUACGCCUGAAUACAUUAGCAUGGAAUAAUGGAAGAGGACCUCGGUCCUAUUUUGUUGGUUUCCAGGGCCGAAGUAAUGAUUAAGAGGGACAGUUGGGGGCAUUCGUAUUUAAUUGUCAGAGGUGAAAUUCUCGGAUUUAUGAAAGACGAACAACUGCGAAAGCAUUUGCCAAGGAUGUUUUCAUUAA
rnacentral:rRNA from 1 species